rnacentral:rRNA from 1 species
GCCCAUUAGCUAGCCGCACCCACUAAAAACAACAAACCCCCAUUAAUACCCCCUAAAGCACUUAUAAGUACUAAACAAAUCAUUUUUCCCCCCAAGUAUGGGCGACAGAAAAGGAACCCGUCGCGCCAUAGAAAAAGUACCGCAAGGGAAUGCUGAAAAAGAAAUGAAACAAACCAGUAAAGCCCCGAAAAGCAGAGAUUUAACCUCGUACCUUUUGCAUCAUGACUUAGCCAGAAAACCUCAAGCAAAGAGUACUUUAGUUUGACCCCCCGAAACUACGUGAGCUACUCCAAGACAGCCUAAUGUAGGGCAAACCCGUCUCUGUGGCAAAAGAGUGGGAUGAGCUUCGAGUAGCAGUGACAGACCUAUCGAACCUAGUUAUAGCUGGUUGCCUGAGAAAUGAAUAGGAGUUCAGCCUUUCGAAUUCUUCCCUCAUAAACACCCUUAUCCCGCCCCGGACAACAAAAGAAGUCGAAAGAGUUAAUUAAACGGGGUACAGCCCCUUUAAUACAAGAUACAACUUUCCCAGGAGGGUAAAGAUCACACCCUAAUUAUCAAGGUAAAAUGUUUUGGUGGGCCUGAAAGCAGCCAUCCCCCUAGAAUGCGUUAAAGCUCAAACAUAUUUACCACCCCCAAUCCUGACAACCUUGUCUUAACCCCCUAACCUUACCAGGCCGUUCCAUGCAACCAUGGAAAUGCCCAUGCUAACAUGAGUAAUAAGAGGGUGCACCAUCCGCCCCUCUCCACGCACAAGUGUACCUCGGAUCGGACCCCCCGCCGAAACUUAACGACCCCAAACAAAGAGGGCCCUGAACAACAGACCCGUCAACUAGAAAAUCACUCAAUACUUAACCGUUAAACCUACACUGGUGUGCUUCUGAGGAAAGACUAAUAAAAAAAGAAGGAACUCGGCAAACACAUAAAGCCUCGCCUGUUUAUCAAAAACAUCGCCUCUUGCCAGUAACGAAUAAGAGGUCCAGCCUGCCCAAUGACCAUGUGUUAAACGGCCGCGGUAUUUUAACCGUGCAAAGGUAGCGUAAUCACUCGUCUUUUAAAUAAAGACCCGUAUGAACGGUAAAACGAGGGCUUAACUGUCUCCUUUUUUAUGUCAAUGAAAUUGAUCUCCCCGUGCAAAAGCGGGGAUUCUCACAUAAGACGAGAAGACCCUGUGAAGCUUCAGACACUAGGACAAGCUAUGCUAUAUACCCCUAUUAAAGAACUAAGCCACUGAACUCUGUCCCAAUGUCUUCGGUUGGGGCGACCACGGAGGACCACAUAACCCCCGCGUGGAAUAGGAGCACUUAAACAACCACCCUGCUCCCACAACUAAGAGCCUCCGCUCUAACGAACAGAACUUCUGACCAAAUAAGACCCGGCAACGCCGGUCAACGAACCAAGUUACUCCAGGGAUAACAGCGCCAUCCUCUUCCAGAGCCCCCAUCGACAAGAGGGUUUACGACCUCGAUGUUGGAUCAGGACAUCCUAAUGGUGCAGCCGCUAUUAGGGUUCGUUUGUUCACGAUUAAAGUCCUACGUGAUCUGAGUUCAGACCGGAGCAAUCCAGGUCAGUUUCUAUCUAUGCCUUAAUCUUUACUAGUACGAAAGGACCGAAAAGAAAGGGCCCAUACUCUAAGCACGCCCUACCCUUACCUAAUGCAAACAACUAAAAUAGAUAAGAGGACAUACUUAAAUUAGACAUCAACAGCCAUAGAACACGGCC